AACUACACACAACACACAUUUUUUUAGGUUUUAAGACAAGAGAAAUCUAUUUUUUAUAUAGAUUUUUUUUUGGAAAUGACAUGAUAAAGGUGAAAAUAACUAUUAAUAAAAAAAAGAACAAAUUAAGAAAAAAAAUUAAUAAAAAAUAGAGAAUGCUAUUUUUAUUAAAUUAUCCUUAUCAUGUUUUGAGAAUAUUGAAAGUAAUAUUAAUUAAAAGAUACCUUUAAAAAAAUGGAUUAAAAAUUAAAAUAAAUCAUUCACUUUAGGAUCAUCUUUUAUUUCAAACGGAUCAUUCAUCGUGGAACAUGGGAUUAAUAAUAAGCAUUUGUGUUAAAAGUUUUUUUUAAAAACAUUAUAACAUUUUUUCCCUACUUGGACUGCAACAUUUUUUAAACCCACACCGUCCGUACUCCUCCUUCUAGGUUUGGAAUCGGCUAGACGCUGCUUGUGCAUAGCAUAUUAGCAUCUAUAAUACCACAUUCCCCACAACCCACAACCCACAGUGAACAUUCGAAGGAAACAAAAUGGAAGACGUGAUAACAGAAGCAGCACCACCAUCAAGAUUACUAGAAGAAGGCCUAAACAAUUUCACACCACCAUCUAAACCUCUUCCUUCACCCUUUCUCAUCUUCCCCCACCCUCAACAACAACAACCCCUCAAACCGAACCUCCUCAUCAUCGCUAUCUCUUCUACUUCUCUCUCUCCUCUUUCCAAACCAUCCUCAACCUACCAAACCCUAACCGCCUCACUCAUCCUCCCUAACUCCCUCUCUCUCAUCCCUACAACACCAUCGACAUCCACUCCAUCUCAUCUAACAUCCUCCUCGCCGCC
rnacentral:lncRNA from 1 species